GCUAAAAUAGCAAAGAGGUCAAUGCAGAAGAUUUAGGAUCUUUUAUCGAGGGUUCGACUCCUUCUUUUAGCU
rnacentral:tRNA from 1 species